UACGUAGGGCGCAAGCGUGUCCGGAAUUAUUGGGCGUAAAGAGCUCGUAGGCGGUUUGUCGCGUCUGCUGUGAAAACCUAAGGCUCAACCUUGGGCUUGCAGUGGGUACGGGCAGACUAGAGUGCGGUAGGGGUGACUGGGAAUUCCUGGGUGUAGCGGUGGAAUGCGCAGAUAUCAGGAGGAACACCGAUGGCGAAGGCAGGUCACUGGGCCGCAA
rnacentral:rRNA from 1 species